rnacentral:misc_RNA from 1 species
GAUGAAGAACGUAGCGAAAUGCGAUAAGUAAUGCGAAUUGCAGAAUUCAGUGAGUCAUCGAAUCUUUGAACGCACAUUGCGCCCGCCAGCAUUCUGGCGGGCAUGCCUGUUCGAGCGUCAUUUCAACCCUCGACCUCCCCUUGGGGAGGUCGGCGUUGGGGACCGGCAGCACACCGCCGGCCCUGAAAUGGAGUGGCGGCCCGUCCGCGGCGACCUCUGCGCAGUAAUACAGCUCGCACCGGGACCCCGACGCGGCCACGCCGUAAAACACCCAACUUCUGAACGUUGACCUCGAAUCAGGUAGGACUACCCGCUGAACUUAAGCAUAUCAAUAAGCGGAGGA